rnacentral:rRNA from 1 species
AACGAACGCUAGCGAUAGGCUUAACACAUGCAAGUCGAGGGGCAUCACGGUGUAGCAAUACACUGGUGGCGACCGGCGCACGGGUGAGUAACACGUAUCUAAUCUACCCAUAACUCUGGAUAGCCCGUCGAAAGGCGGAUUAAUACCGGAUAACACAGGGACACCGCAUGGUGAUAUUUGUUAAAGAUUUAUUGGUUAUGGAUGAGGAUGCGUUCCAUUAGGUAGUUGGUAGGGUAACGGCCUACCAAGCCUGCGAUGGAUAGGGGAACUGAGAGGUUUAUCCCCCACACGUGUACUGAGACCCGGACCAGACUCCUACGGGAGGCAGCAGUGAGGAAUAUUGGUCAAUGGGCGGGAGCCUGAACCAGCCAAAUCGCGUGAAGGAAGAAGGUAUUAUGUAUUGUAAACUUCUUUUGUAUGGGAAUAAAAAGAGUCACGUGUGACUUGUUGCAUGUACCAUACGAAUAAGCAUCGGCUAACUCCGUGCCAGCAGCCGCGGUAA